AUCUUAAGAGGCGUUCCUUUUUGCAUAGUUCCCAUGAGCAUGAGAGAAGAAGCAAUGCAUGCUCCGGCAGAUUCCUAGGAACCAAAUACCUCUGAGGAGCACCAGAUUUCAGCUUAUGGGAAUCUUUGAUUGCUCUGUGGCUGCAUUUAGGAGAAGGAAGCUGCAGUCAUGCGUCAUCACUGCCAGCCUCACAUCUCUUGACAGUUAAAAGCCUUAGGGUGGAGAAAGGGAAAAUUUAAAAUAACAAAUGAAGCAAAAGCAAGAGGUGAUGUUCCCAAGCAGAGGAAGGCUAAGUUUAUAUAUACAAAUGUCAAGUGUGUAUAGUGCAAAACUAGGACCAGUUGGUGGAAUCUGUGGUCAAAAACAAAAGCCUUCCUUUUUUUUUUUUCAAGGCCCAGUCCCAAGAAGCAAGACCACUUGCGCCAGCAGCGUGCAUCAGCAAGAUAGCAAAAGCAGGACGAGAGCUGCCCGGAAGACAUCUACCUGGCCAGAAGACACCUACCCUGGCCGGAAGACAUGUACCCCUGAAGAUAGAGAAAGAGGCCAUCCGUGUACUACGUAGCAGUCAUGUCAGACUGGGACACUUCCUGUUUACAGAGGACUAUAAAACCCCUGUCCUGUCCUCACUUGGGGCUGACGCCAUCUUAGGCCUCAGCCCGCCUGCAGCCAGGCGUUCGUUAAAACAGCAUGUUGCUCCACACCGCCUUGUAUUGUUUGUUGGUCCCACUCUCUGGGCUCGAACCAAUACAAGCACCUUUCAAGCAGUAUAUUCUUCAGUGUCUUGAUCCUCCAAAUAACUCUCUUCUAAUUCCUCCUGACCACAAAAAGCACUUAUACUCUAGGAUGACUGAUUCCAGCCCAGUGGCCUGGCAAGGGUGAAUUACACCUUGCAUAUCACACUCUUGACAUUUGUGUGUGCUAGCAUAAGAAUUAUAAUUGAAACAGGGAUUUAAGUAUCUCCUCUCUAGGUGCCUACCCUCCUUGGACUCAGGUCAAAUUUAUUAAAGGAAGUUUUGUUUCUAGAUAGGUUGUUUGAAAUAAAAUAACAGAAUGUUCAAGUAACACAGUGUACCUACAGCUUUUAACAAAAUUGAGGACUUGGGUCUCGAAACAAUUUCCUUUGAUUUUCAGGUAUUUUAUCUAUAAAAAGGGAGAUAAAGCAUUAGUUCAUAGGAUAGUUAUAUGUUUAAAUGUGAUAAUGUAUAUUAACCACCUUGCAUGUACUCAAAUGUGUUUUGAAAUCUAACGUCUACAUUUUGAUAGUUUAACUGUUCUACCUAAGUGACUUACAACAGGCAUUAAAUAUUGUUUGGCAUUUUCAUAUAUCUGUAUCUGUAUCUUAAUCUACAAUGAGCUUAAUUUUAAGUGUAGCAUAAAACAGAACCUUCAAUAAAGUGGUAAUAUUAGG
rnacentral:lncRNA from 1 species